rnacentral:rRNA from 1 species
AUUGAACGCUGGCGGCAGGCCUAACACAUGCAAGUCGAACGGUAACAGGAAGCUGUUUGCUGCUUUGCUGACGAGUGGCGGGCGGGUGAGUCAUGUGUGGGACACUGCUUGAUGGAGGGGGAUAACUACUGGAAACGGUAGCUAAUACCGCAUAACGUCGCAAGACCAAAGAGGGGGACCUUAGGGCCUCUUGCCAUCGGAUGUGCCCAGGUGGGAUUAGCUAGUAGGUGGGGUAACGGCUCACCUAGGCGACGAUCCCUAGCCGGUCUGAGAGGAUGACCGGCCACACUGGAACUGAGACACGGUCCAGACUCCUACGGGAGGCAGCAGUGGGGAAUAUUGCGCAAUGGGCGCAAGCCUGAUGCAGCCAUGCCGCGUGUAUGAAGAAGGCCUUCGGGUUGUAAAGUACUUUCAGCGGGGAGGAAGGGAUUAAAGUUAAUACCUGUGCUCAUUGACGUUACCCGCAGAAGAAGCACCGGCUAACUCCGUG